AAAGGGCGCGUAGGCGGCUCUGUAAGUCAAAGGUGAAAUCCCUCGGCUCAACUGAGGAACUGCCUUUGAAACUGCAAGGCUUGAGGCCGGGAGGGGGUAGCGGAAUUCCCAAUGUAGCGGUGAAAUGCGUAGAUAUUGGGAGGAACACCAGUGGCGAAGGCGGCUACCUGGACCGGUUCUGACGCUGAGGCGCGAAAGCGUGGGUAGCAAACAGGAUUAGAUACCCUUGU
rnacentral:rRNA from 1 species